rnacentral:rRNA from 1 species
AUGAGAAAGAUGUCGAGGGCCUCCCUCGGCGAUGACCCGGAGACGGAGCGGGAAGCGAAGAAGCCACACCUGGCAGAGGAAGAGGAGGUAGCUGGUCGAACAUCCCAUUCAGAGAUGAUCUUCGCGGCCUUUGAGCACGACAGAGCCCAAUCCCAAGUAAAACUAGAUCGUGUGUAUGAUGUGAUCGAGUCCGUGACGGAGGAAUCCUCCGAUCCAGCCAGCCCUCCACUCUACGAACCCUACAUACCCGACGAGCUUGCUGAUAGGGCUGCCAAUCCGGGCAUACGCGCUGCCUUCCGGCAUGCCAAAGCCAAAUACAAAGCAGAACAAUCUCGUCAGGCUUCUCUCUUCACAAUGGAUCAUCACCGCUAUAAAGCGCCUUCGUGCUUGUUCUCUGACCCAUGCCUCCUUCCCAUCCGUGAACCCGCAAAGGAUGCAGUGCUUCUUGCUGCCAACUCGGUCAUCAUUCUCUCGUCCUCUCUCGAGAGUCAGCCGCUGAAUAUGUGCUCUGGUUUGUGGAUUCAACGGGAUGACAGUCGCAAAACCGCUGUUGUUUUGACGUCUGCUCAUCUGAUUCGCGCAAAGGAUCCCUCCAAGAUGGACCCGUGGUUGGAGGAGUGGACAGGCAAAUAUCACCGUGAGGCUAAGGUCAUUGUUCACUUGCUAGACAACACUACCGUACUGGGCCGGCUCCUCUACCUGCAGGAGCAUUAUGAAUUUGCUCUUUAUGAGGUUGAAGUUGACAAACCAGUUCAGCUGCCCACUUUCAUUGAUAGUGCGUGUUCUGGCCAAGAUGUUUUCCGACUUGGAAGAGAUGAAAAUCUGGAUCUAACAAUAACCCAUGGUAGGGUAGAAUACAUGGUUCCAGAUUGGUAUGAGAGGUGUCAUUACAUGUAUUUUUCCCGUGAUACAAGUCACAAUAUGUUUCAGGACGAUGGAGGGCUCAUCAUUGAUUUAGAAGGGAGGGUUGUGGGUCUCGUUAACAAUCACAUUAAUGAGACUUUUGUACCUUCUUCAAUAUUGCAUAAGUGCUUUGAUUUCUGGAGGAGGUUCAAGUGUAUACCUCGGCUCCACCUUGGAAUGACUUUUACUUCUAUCAGACUUUUAGACCCAAUUUGUAUUGAGAGGAUGAGACGUAAGCAUAGCAUCGAGUUUGGUCUUAUUGUUGAGAAGGUCUCAAAAGGAUCAUAUGCUGAGAAACUUGGAAUCAGCAAGGGUGAUGUUAUUGAAGGUUUUAAUGGAAAAUAUAUUUCUACUACAAUUGAGUUGGAAAACAUGUUGAUAGACAUAUGCUGGGAUCACUUCGACCAAGGAAAUGAAUUAAAUGAAGAAAAACAUGUCUCGGUAAAAAUAUUUGAUGCUAACAAACUUAGCCGAAAAACUAAAAACUUAACCGUAAUUGUAUCGGAUCAUGGAGAGGACAUUGUAAAAGGCACUUACCCUAUCACGGGAAAAUAA